rnacentral:rRNA from 1 species
CGGGGGGGCAAGCGUUGUUCGGAGUUACUGGGCGUAAAGGGCUCGUAGGUGGCCAACUAAGUCAGACGUGAAAUCCCUCGGCUUAACCGGGGAACUGCGUCUGAUACUGGAUGGCUUGAGUUUGGGAGAGGGACGCGGAAUUCCAGGUGUAGCGGUGAAAUGCGUAGAUAUCUGGAGGAACACCGGUGGCGAAGGCGGCGUCCUGGACCAAUACUGACACUGAGGAGCGAAAGCCAGGGGAGCAAACGGGAUUAGAUACCCCGGUAGUCCUGGCCCUAAACGAUGAAUGCUUGGUGUGGCGGGUAUCGAUCCCUGCCGUGCCGAAGCUAACGCAUUAAGCAUUCCGCCUGGGGAGUACGGUCGCAAGGCUG